UUCUCACAAGGCUUGCCAGACCCCUGCCUCCCGUCUUGAUGUCUAAUAGGUCAAUCUUUCAAGAACACUUGUGGGGAGACCUGUGUCCUUGUCUGGAUCAGAGAUGUGAUGUAUUAACUUUCAGAGUCCUCCUUCACCCUGGCCUAUGUUUUACGCUAGUGAGGGAAGUCUUUCCUGCCAGGAGAUGUUCAUUGAAGUGCAGACUGCUCAGAGCCACACCGCAGGCUGGCAGAGGAAGUGUCUCGGUGUUGCCUUGGCCCGUUCACCCCCUGCCAGGCCAGUAGAGGAGCUGAAGAGUCUUCGCCAUGGUUUGAGAAAAAGUUAUAGAGGCCUGAGGCUGGAGGCAGGGGGAUCAGUC
rnacentral:lncRNA from 1 species